AGUGAACGCUGGCGGUAGGCCUAACACAUGCAAGUCGAACGGCAGCACAGUAAGAGCUUGCUCUUACGGGUGGCGAGUGGCGGACGGGUGAGGAAUACAUCGGAAUCUACUUUUUCGUGGGGGAUAACGUAGGGAAACUUACGCUAAUACCGCAUACGACCUACGGGUGAAAGCAGGGGAUCUUCGGACCUUGCGCGAUUGAAUGAGCCGAUGUCGGAUUAGCUAGUUGGCGGGGUAAAGGCCCACCAAGGCGACGAUCCGUAGCUGGUCUGAGAGGAUGAUCGGCCACACUGGAGCUGAGACACGGUCCAGACUCCUACGGUAGGCAGCAGUGGGGAAUAUUGGACAAUGGGGGCAAGCCUGAUCCAGCCAUACCGCGUGGGUGAAGAAGGCCUUCGGGUUGUAAAGCCCUUUUGUUGGGAAAGAAAAGCAGCAGGUUAAUACCCCGCUGUUCUGACGGUACCCAAAGAAUAAGCACCGGCUAACUUCGUG
rnacentral:rRNA from 1 species